CACUGAGAAAAAAAGUGAAUCUUAAAAUUAUAUUUUUUGACGACUUAAUUUUAUUCUGCCAAAAAAGAUUAAAUUUUAUUCUAAAAGAAUGAAUUUCAGUAUUUUUAUUCAUAUCUCAGAUUAAUUUUUAGUAGUUUUAGUCUUAAAUUCAAUUCUUUUUCGGAGACUUGUUUUUAUUCUUCACUCUCUCUGUGAGAGAAAGAAACGGAUAUAGUGCACAGCAAUGUGCCGUGCUAUGUGAGAGAGUGAGAAAAGGAAUUGUGCGUCUGACGUGAGAUAGUCGGCCAUUUUGGCAGUGAACGCCAAGCUGUUAGCAGCACCAGAGGUAAAUAAUUUUCUUCUUUAUUUUCUUUUACUAAUUUGCGAUGAUUGUUUCAGGAAGAUGCAUAGAAAAUAGCAACUGUGAAGACCAUGAAGAUAUCUGUCAACUUGAGAAUUCAAUGGGAUCUUAGGUUUGUGCGAGAUUCAGGGGGGACCAAGUGAGGAAGAAGAAAAAAGCGUGUGGAAGAAUGCGGCAUUUUCAGGAAAAAACAUUUGGAAAUUCCAGAUGCUGGAGCCCUCUCCAAGUGUUUAAUUAUGACCAGUUCAUUGGAGACGUUAUCCUCCUCAAACAUCAUCUGACGAAGUGGACGGAAGAGAAUGCGAUGAUGAUGGACUUUAACUCUGAAAAAUCAAACGUCGUCGGUGAUAGUGCAUCUUUUACAAACAAUUUUGCUCGGAUUGUCUUGUCACUAAGCUCUUGUACAUCAUAGUUCAAAGAUAAGGCCAAUAAGCGGCUAUUGAAGAAAAUGUAUGAUCCCCUUACAACAAAAGGCUCACAUGAUUGUAUCCUGUUUCUCUUGCUGAAGGCUUUGAUUCUCCGAGACCGUGAGAGUGGUAAUAAGAUAUCAAUAAUUCAAGACGCGGUUACUGGUUAUACUCUUAAAAUUAUGAAAAAUAAAACUUAAUUUCAUUCUG